rnacentral:tRNA from 1 species
UAGCUCAGUUGGUAGAGCAUGGUGUUUGCAACGCCAGGGUUGUGGGUUCGAUUCCCAG